UACGAAGGGGGCUAGCGUUGCUCGGAAUCACUGGGCGUAAAGGGCGCGUAGGCGGCCAUUCAAGUCAGAGGUGAAAGCCCAAGGCUCAACCUUGGAACUGCCUUUGAUACUGUUUGGCUUGAGGCCGGUAGAGGUAAGUGGAACUGCGAGUGUAGAGGUGAAAUUCGUAGAUAUUCGCAAGAACACCAGUGGCGAAGGCGGCUUACUGGACCGGUUCUGACGCUGAGGCGCGAAAGCGUGGGGAGCAAACAGG
rnacentral:rRNA from 1 species